rnacentral:tRNA from 6 species
GCCCGGGUGGUGAAAUUGGUAGACACAACGGACUUAAAAUCCGUCGGGGAGAAAUCUCUGUACCGGUUCAAGUCCGGUCCCGGGCACCA